GCAGAAGACAGUCAAAAUAUAGAAAAAAAUAAACGAAUUUAUUUUGUUAUAUAACAGAUCUUUAAUUGACCAAACUUUUUCGGUCAAAAUGGCUGAAAAUAUUGCAUCUUUGACGGUUGACGGUCAAUAUUUUGCCCAUUUGACGAUUGACGGUUAACCCUAAUUGAGACUCUCUCUUAUGUACCUGGAGGAAAACAGUUUUAGACUGUCUUUCUCGAUGAUGUUCUAACAAUAUUAAAACCUCCUUUAACCUCUUCUGAGAAACGUAAACAUAAUGUGACCCUUGGCUUUUCAUAAUUUGCAUAACGUCUGAUGAGUAUUGACAAACGGAUUAAAACAUUUAUUUCGUGCAAAAUUUAAAACCGUCGGUAAUCACAUGUAUCAUUUGAUCAUAUCGCAUCGCAUUUCAGCAUCUCUUUGACCUGCCUAAGCUUGUUUCACUCGUCUAAAGCAAUUCUCUUUCACAAACGGCACAGUCAUACCAAUGAUGGAUUCUAAGAUCGACAUCGGGCAGGAGAACAUUUAUCCAAACAGGAAGAUGACGAGUCCAAAUAGCAAGACGACGCCGAAACCUAUGAUGAUAUAAUUCCCAGAAACGACCCUCCUUAGGCAAAGCCAGACGUGGAAGUCCAGCCGUGUAAAUAUUUUGCCACAGUGAAACAUCACCGAUUAUUCUUCAUCGCAUCUGCAAUUGGUUUUGGUCGUGGCAAUGAUGGCGUCACGGAGCGAAUUUUCGACAAGUGCGGCUACCAUUUCCCCUUCUUGUAGUACGUAAACACUUAUAUUAAUUGCUGUAGGCACUUUACAGAAACGGAAAUACGUUAGCACAAGGCAAAGGUUUAUCCUUGACGCAUGUAACCAGACCUGACCCUUUGAAAAUAUGCAACCAGACCUAACCCUAUAGACAAUAGGCGAGGAAAGUGUCGAUGUUUAAUGCUGUUUACGGAUCUGACAGAUCCUUUGGCCGCUAAACAAGGGGACACAGCCAUUAGAAACGAGUUCGAAAUUCCAACAUCUCUGGGGUAACCAAACUAUCUUUGAUGCUGAGUUUUUAGCCAUCGGUAAGUUGUACAGCCGAGUCUCUCGUCUGUUGCCAGUAAAAUCUUUUGAAUAAAUGUCAGUCAGCAAAUACAGACCUGUCUGUUGCUUGCAUGCUGAGCGAAAACUGACUGGAACUGGACUGGACUAUAGAACCUGGGAAGGUACAGUGUAUAGUAUUUUGCAAAAUUGUUGAUGGGACAGGGUUCACGCAAAGAUUCUGAAGAGGUGUUCUUUACCUUCAAAAGCACUACAAGAAUAUAUUCAAGGAUAUACCAGAAGACUAGAGCAGGAUGAUUCCUCAAGGCAUUCAAAUUAACCUCAAGUCAUUUUCACGACUACCAGGUUUAGGCGCGGGGAGGCUGGAAAGAAAGAAAAACGAGGAUAACACAAGGUGCUAGACACGCACGGUUGUGCCUUGUGCUUGCCUUCGCUUGUACCUCGUGCGGGCCUCCACUUGUCAGAAACAGGAAAAAAGGAAGAAAAAUUACGCCUGUCCUGCAGGAUACGAGAUCCCUUGAGCCUAGUUUAUUUAGGAUUUGUCUCCAGCUGGUUUUGGCUAAACUCCAUUCUGGGUUACAUUUGGGAUCAUUAGAAGACACUACCUUGGAUUUCGAUGUUUUACUGCGUGAACUGCAAGAGAAAUGAAUACGCAUUGAGUGAAUCAAUGGUGGACUGCUUGAAUAACUCUUUGAGGGAAUUUACAAGUCACUAUUUACAGCCGCCCAUGGCGACAGUGUUACAGACCCACAAAAAGAUGGUCUCCGUUGGAACUUCUUCAACAGAGUAUUUCAGGUAGGGGAUCUAUGGAUUGACCAUUGCUAACAAAUACGACUAUAAACGUUCUCACAGCAUGAUAUGUGAAAAGGAAAUUCAGCAUUUCACACACACUGAAAACGCUAUGCAUCAUUGACACAUCCGACAUGUAUUAAAAGUUAUAAAAAUUUUCUCCAAAAAUCUUCUUUAUUUUAUACUUGACUGGUUAUUUGAUGUACACAGCCUGUCACAAAUCGAACCACAAAUCAAUAGUUAACGAAACUCGAAACAUGUAAUUCUAAAUCAGUUACUGAGAAACAAAGAUAGUUGAAAUUACGACAGAUUUAUUACAAAUUUAUAGUUAGAUCUGUUCAUGGAAAAACAUCAUGCUCCUCCAACAAGUAUAUUUGUAGACAGAUUGUACUUGUUCGGUUAGUUGUCUAUCUUCAGUUGUACCAGUUAUCAUUUCUCAAAUCGGAAAACUUAAUUUCAUAACAAGUGCCAUUCUAAGGGCCAUGUAGCCCCAGGCAUGUAGCCUGUUUUGUAGAAGGUCUUCUCUUGUAUUCAGGAUUGACUUUCUGUCACUUCUUGACGAUUUUGUUGAGGUUUAUUGAAAGACCUUUAGUGUAUUAUAUUCUAUUUUUUCUUGAAGAUAGUUUUUGGUGACUAGAAUGCUUGUCCUGGCAACCAAAAAUUAAAACUUGGAGGCCAGGUGGCCCCAAGAUUUUUUUCUGAAAGUGGAGCCCUGCAUAUGGUACCUAGAAGGGAGAAUUUAAAAUCAGAAGGGC